AUGGACACCAAAGGAGCGGCGGAGGCAAUGCUGAAGGCGGCGGCGCCCAUGGGGGCGGAGGAGGAGGCCAUGCUCAAGGCGCUGGCGCACAAGCAGGAGGCUGCUCCGGCGCCGGGCCCGGCGGGGCCAUGGACGACGGGGGGCAUCACGGGCGCGGCGUCGGCGGCGGUGGAGCGCUACUGGGCCAGCCUCAAGAGCCAGGCCAGCGCUGCCGGCGAGUACACUACGAGCAAGGCCCUCGCGGCCGGCGAGUACACGACGCUCAGGGCCCGCGCGGCCGGCGAGUACAUGACGAGCAAGGCCCGCGCGGCCGGCGAGUACACGACGCUCAGGACCCGCCAGGGCGUCGCCCUCUUCGGCGAGCCCAACAUCGGCCCCAUCAAGACCAUCGUUGAUCGUUGCUAG
rnacentral:rRNA from 1 species